ensembl:ncRNA lncRNA:CR44057 long non-coding RNA:CR44057
CCCCCUUCCCCCUUCCAAUCUAACAGCAUCACCGUUACUUGUGUAACUCGCAGUUCAAUUACCUCGCUAAUACGAGUUGUCUCUUCCGAUGAUUCCUCCGCCUUCAUGAGCUAUAGCCACAUACAUACAUAUAUACCACACAUGUACUUAUUUGCGGAGAUGCAUCCCCUUCUUCACCGCUUGUAACUCGAAUUCGUUAAUUAUUUUGACAGUCGGCCAUGUUGACAGCCGCAAAAGUCAACGGGAUGAGAGAAAUGAACAAACCUGAUGUGUAAGUGGAGUGACCCGAUCAAUGUGCAGGCAAUGGCUUGAGAGGUUCUGUUGUGGCCACAUGAAACUUGCAUGAGGCGCCGUCUUCCGCCCAUUCCGGAAUGUGUGUGGCAGCCACAGCCAUUUUGGCCAACCACUGAUUAUGCCACAUCCGAAUUGGACAUGUCAAAUUAGCCACGACAUAAACAAGAACAGAUACAUAUGUACAUACGCAUGUACAUAUGUACAUAUGUUAUCGAAGAAGUCAAACUUUAACUCACCCACUCCAAAAUGAUUACUGCU